GCCUGACAUCAAUCUUGAUAUAAUCUUUGGACCAUGUGGUGCAUUAUUACAGGAAAAUACAUUUAGCAAAACCUAACCGGUCACAUGCUGGGCACUACCAAAGAUAAUGUAUUCCAUAGAAACCAACGAAUGGAUAAUCCUUGCAAAUGAUUGGAAGACUCCUUCAGGGCGGCAAUAAUCCAAACAAUCUGUUGCUUGCAGGGUUCAACCCUAUCAGAUGCACAUUCAGUUAUGUUGCCCACAUAUCUAUGCUUGGCCCUGGGGGGGUAACAAUGGUGGUUGCACCGAUGAGAACACAAGCUGUGAGAGGUGGGCCGCUCUCGGAGAGUGUAUGAAAAACCCAGAGUAUAUGGUGGGAUCUGCAGAGGUUCUAGUGCUUGUAGGAGGAUCUACAAGGUGUGUUAGCUGACUAUUUUGAUCAUGUUAGCGGUUGUCAUAAUCUCACUGGGGUUGCUACUAGUGGUGAUCUCUUCUGUGGGUACGCUUUUUGGAAGAUGGGUCUGUGAAUUACAUAGUUGGAGCGAAGCAACCUGACUAUCUAGUUACUACUGCUGAUGUUGAUUCAUACCUUGCCAUUGAAGUACAGCCCCUUGAUGACAGGAACAGGAAGGUCCAGUGGAGCUUGCUGUGUGUAAGAUGAUGAGCACUGAAGAAUGAGGAAAUGAAAAUCUGGAAGAGGCUUUACCUUUAAGCAGUGAAAUGAAAAACUUGCCUUCACAUCUUGGAUUUUAAUCAAUUGUGCCUAAAUUUAGGCCUACAAACUAGCACUUCAGCCUUUUGACGCUACUCGCGCUGAGAGUAUCAUAUAGAGGAUUCUUUUUUUAAAUUAUUUAAGACCAUUUUCAAUUUAUUGUAAUAAAUAUUACAUACAU